rnacentral:piRNA from 1 species
AGAUUGUGCGACCUGACCCUGGCCAACGGG